UACGUAGGGUGCAAGCGUUGUCCGGAAUUAUUGGGCGUAAAGAGCUCGUAGGCGGUUUGUCGCGUCUGCUGUGAAAACCCGAGGCUCAACCUCGGGCCUGCAGUGGGUACGGGCAGACUAGAGUGCGGUAGGGGAGACUGGAAUUCCUGGUGUAGCGGUGGAAUGCGCAGAUAUCAGGAGGAACACCGAUGGCGAAGGCAGAUCUCUGGGGCC
rnacentral:rRNA from 1 species